rnacentral:rRNA from 1 species
AUUGAACGCUGGCGGCAGGCUUAACACAUGCAAGUCGAGCGAGCGGCGGAGGGGUGAGUAAUGUCGGAGAAACUGCCUGAUGGAGGGGGAAAACGACUGGAAACGGUAGAUAAAACCGCUAAACAUCAGAUGUGCCGAUAUGGGAUUAGCGAGUAGGUGGGGUAAUGGCUCACCUAGGCGACGCUCCCUAGCUGGUCUGCGAGGGUGAACAGCCACACUGGAACUGAGACACGGUCCAGACUCCUACGCGAGGCAGCAGUGGGGAAUAUUGCACAAUGGGCGAAAGCCUGAUGCAGCCAUGCCGCGUGUGUGAAGAAGGCCUUCGGGUUGUAAAGCACUUUCAGCGAGGAGGCGUUACUCGAAGAAGAAGCACCGGCUAACUCCGUGCCAGCAGCCGCGGUAAUAC